CGGCCGUCGUCGGGGGAUUCGCUCCCCUUCGUCUCGAGAUAGUUACCUGGUUGAUCCUGCCAGUAGUCAUAUGCUUGUCUCAAAGAUUAAGCCAUGCAUGUCUAAGUAUAAACAAAUUCAUACGGUGAAACUGCGAAUGGCUCAUUAAAUCAGUUAUAGUUUAUUUGAUGGUACCUUACUACAUGGAUAACUGUGGUAAUUCUAGAGCUAAUACAUGCUUAAAAGCCCCGACUUCUGGGAGGGGUGUAUUUAUUAGAU
rnacentral:rRNA from 1 species